rnacentral:rRNA from 1 species
CCUACGGGAGGCAGCAGUUAGGAAUUUUGGGCAAUGGGCGCAAGCCUGACCCAGCAACGCCGCGUGGGUGACGAAGGCCUUCGGGUUGUAAAGCCCUUUUCUGGGGGAAGAUGAUGACGGUACCCCAGGAAGAAGCACCGGCUAACUACGUGCCAGCAGCCGCGGUAAUACGUAGGGUGCGAGCGUUGCCCGGAUUUAUUGGGCGUAAAGGGCGCGCAGGCGGCUGCGCACGUUCGCUGUGAAAGCUCCCGGCUCAACUGGGAGAGGUCGGCGGAUACGGCGCAGCUGGAGCUCGGUAGGGGGUCGUGGAAUUCCCGGUGUAGUGGUGGAAUGCGUAGAUAUCGGGAGGAACACCAGUGGCGAAGGCGGCGACCUGGACCGAAGCUGACGCUGAGGCGCGAAAGCGUGGGGAGCGAUCCGGAUUAGAUACCCUAGUAGUC